rnacentral:lncRNA from 1 species
UGCUCGUAGGCCAGUUGAAUCUUCAGCCGCUGUAGUUCGGUCUUCUCCUGCCCAAGGGUCAUGGACAGUUCUUCUAUGAUCCCCCUCAAGGAGCAGAGCUCGUCAGAGCCUUGUGCAGAGACGGCCUAAACUCUCUCGGACAACUACCUCUGAAGGCGGGCAACCUCAUCGGUCGCUGUCUUGAGCUUCCUUCGAUAAUCGUCUACUUGUCUGCACCAGCUGACUCAAUAGGCGUUGUAGUUUGCCUCGGCAUCCUACAGCUAUUUCUGAAGGUCGAAGAAUUUCUUCGACCAGUCUCGAUCGCGGUCAGCGUGAGUUGUGAGCC